rnacentral:rRNA from 1 species
UACGGAGGGUGCAAGCGUUAAUCGGAAUUACUGGGCGUAAAGCGUGCGUAGGCGGUUCGUUAAGUCUGUUGUGAAAGCCCCGGGCUCAACCUGGGAAAUGGCAAUGGAUACUGGCGAGCUAGAGUGUGUCAGAGGAUGGUGGAAUUCCCGGUGUAGCGGUGAAAUGCGUAGAGAUCGGGAGGAACAUCAGUGGCGAAGGCGGCCAUCUGGAACGGUACUGGACGCUGAGACGCGAAAGCGUGGGGAGCGAACAGG